GCCUGGGUGGCUCAGUCGGUUAAGUGUCUGACUUCAGCUCAGGUCAUGAUCUGACAGUUUGUGAGUUCGAGCCCCAUAUCGGGCU
rfam:Felis catus isolate Cinnamon breed Abyssinian chromosome F1, whole genome shotgun sequence.